rnacentral:tRNA from 1 species
GCCCAUAGCUCAGCUGGUAGAGCGCUUGGCUGGCAGCCAAGAGGUCAGGGGUUCGAGUCCCCUUGGGUCCA